rnacentral:rRNA from 1 species
GAUGAACGCUGGCGGCGUGCCUAAUACAUGCAAGUCGAGCGAACAGAUGAGGAGCUUGCUCCUCUGACGUAGCGGCGGACGGGUGAGUAACACGUGGAUAACCUACCUAUAAGACUGGGAUAACUUCGGGAAACCGGAGCUAAUACCGGAUAAUAUAUUGAACCGCAUGGUUCAAUAGUGAAAGACGGUUUUGCUGCCACUUAUAGAUGGAUCCGCGCCGCAUUAGCUAGUUGGUAAGGUAACGGCUUACCAAGGCAACGAUGCGUAGCCGACCUGAGAGGGUGAUCGGCCACACUGGAACUGAGACACGGUCCAGACUCCUACGGGAGGCAGCAGUAGGGAAUCUUCCGCAAUGGGCGAAAGCCUGACGGAGCAACGCCGCGUGAGUGAUGAAGGUCUUCGGAUCGUAAAACUCUGUUAUUAGGGAAGAACAAAUGUGUAAGUAACUAUGCACGUCUUGACGGUACCUAAUCAGAAAGCCACGGCUAACUACGUG